rnacentral:rRNA from 1 species
GACGAACGCUGGCGGCGUGCCUAAUACAUGCAAGUCGAACGCUGAAGGAGGAGCUUGCUUCUCUGGAUGAGUUGCGAACGGGUGAGUAACGCGUAGGUAACCUGCCUGGUAGCGGGGGAUAACUAUUGGAAACGAUAGCUAAUACCGCAUAAUAGUAGAUGUUGCAUGACAUUUGCUUAAAAGGUGCAAUUGCAUCACUACCAGAUGGACCUGCGUUGUAUUAGCUAGUUGGUGGGGUAACGGCUCACCAAGGCGACGAUACAUAGCCGACCUGAGAGGGUGAUCCGCCACACUGGGACUGAGACACGGCCCAGACUCCUACGGGAGGCAGCAGUAGGGAAUCUUCGGCAAUGGACGGAAGUCUGACCGAGCAACGCCGCGUGAGUGAAGAAGGUUUUCGGAUCGUAAAGCUCUGUUGUAAGAGAAGAACGAGUGUGAGAGUGGAAAGUUCACACUGUGACGGUAUCUUACCAGAAAGGGACGGCUAACUACGUG